CAACUACAGAAACUUU
rnacentral:tRNA from 1 species